GAUGAACGCUGGCGGCGUGCCUAAUACAUGCAAGUCGAGCGAAAAGACGAGGAGCUUGCUCCUCGGACGUUAGCGGCGGACGGGAGAGUAACACGUGGAUCACCUACCUAUAAGACUGGUAAAACUUCGGGAAACCGGAGCUAAUACCGGAGAAUAUAUUGAACCGCAUGGGGGAAUAGUGAAUGACGGUUUUGGUGGAACGUAUAGAUGGAUACGCGCCGGAUUAGCUAGUUGGUAAGGUAACAGCUUACCAAGGCAACGAGGCGUAGCCGACCUGUGGGGGUGAUAGGCCACACGGGAACUGAGCCACCGUCCAUGCUCCUGCGGGAGGCAGCAGUAGGCAAUCUUCCGCAAUGGGCGAAAGCCUGACGGAGCGGCGCCACGCCUGUGGCGACGGUGUUCCGUUCGUAAUGCCGUGUUACUAGUGAAGAACCACUGUGUACGUAACUGUGCCCGUCUUGACGGUACCUAAUCAGAAAGCCCCGGCUAACUACGUG
rnacentral:rRNA from 1 species